UUCAUGGAGAGUUUGAUCCUGGCUCAGGACGAACGCUGGCGGCGUGCCUAAUACAUGCAAGUCGAGCGGACAGAUGGGAGCUUGCUCCCUGAUGUUAGCGGCGGACGGGUGAGUAACACGUGGGUAACCUGCCUGUAAGACUGGGAUAACUCCGGGAAACCGGGGCUAAUACCGGAUGCUUGAUUGAACCGCAUGGUUUAAUUAUAAAAGGUGGCUUUUAGCU
rnacentral:rRNA from 1 species